CUACGUGCCAGCAGCCGCGGUAAUACGUAUGUCACAAGCGUUAUCCGGAUUUAUUGGGCGUAAAGCGCGUCUAGGUGGUUAUGUAAGUCUGAUGUGAAAAUGCAGGGCUCAACUCUGUAUUGCGUUGGAAACUGCAUGACUAGAGUACUGGAGAGGUAAGCGGAACUACAAGUGUAGAGGUGAAAUUCGUAGAUAUUUGUAGGAAUGCCGAUGGGGAAGCCAGCUUACUGGACAGAUACUGACGCUAAAGCGCGAAAGCGUGGGUAGCAAACAGGAUUAGAUACCCUGGUAGUCCACGCCGUAAACGAUGAUUACUAGGUGUUGGGGGUCGAACCUCAGCGCCCAAGCUAACGCGAUAAGUAAUCCGCCUGGGGAGUACGUACGCAAGUAUGAAACUCAAAGGAAUUGACGGGGACCCGUACAAGCGGUGGAGCAUGUGGUUUAAUUCGACGCAACGCGAGGAACCUUACCAGCGUUUGACAUC
rnacentral:rRNA from 1 species